CGUGAGUGACGAAGGCUUUCGGGUCGUAAAGCUCUGUCAAGUGGGAAGAACCUGCAGUAUGCUAAUAUCAUAUUGCACUGACGGUACCACUGAAGGGAGCACCGGCUAACUCCGUGCCAGCAGCCGCGGUAAUACGGGGGGUGCAAGCGUUAUUCGGAAUCAUUGGGCGUAAAGAGCACGUAGGCGGCUUGGUAAGUCAGAUGUGAAAGCCCGGGGCUUAACCCCGGAAGUGCAUUUGAUACUGCCAGGCUUGAGUAUGGGAGAGGGAAGUGGAAUUCCUGGUGUAGAGGUGAAAUUCGUAGAUAUCAGGAGGAACACCGGUGGCGAAGGCGACUUCCUGGACCAAUACUGACGCUGAGGUGCGAAGGCGUGGGUAGCAAACAGGAUUAGAUACCCUGGUAGUCCACGCAGUAAACGUUGUUCACUAGGUGUAGCGGGUAUUGACCCCUGCUGUGCCGCAGUUAACGCAUUAA
rnacentral:rRNA from 1 species